AGUGAACGCUGGCGGUAGGCCUAACACAUGCAAAUCGAACGGCAGCACAGAGGAGCUUGCUCCUUGGGUGGCGAGUGGCGGACGGGUGAGGAAUACAUCGGAAUCUACUCUGUCGUGGGGGAUAACGUAGGGAAACUUACGCUAAUACCGCAUACGACCUACGGGUGAAAGCAGGGGACCUUCGGGCCUUGCGCGAUUGAAUGAGCCGAUGUCGGAUUAGCUAGUUGGCGGGGUAAAGGCCCACCAAGGCGACGAUCCGUAGCUGGUGUGAGAGAAUGAUCAGCAACCCUGGAACUGGGACACGGUCCAGACGCCUACGGGAGGCAGCAGUGGGGAAUAUUGGACAAGGGGCGCAAGCCUGAUCCAGCCAUACCGCGUGGGUGAAGAAGGCCUUCGGGUUGUAAAGCCCUUUUGUUGGGAAAGAAAUCCAGCUGGCUAAUACCCGGUUGGGAUGACGGUACCCAAAGAAUAAGCACCGGCUAACUUCGUGCCAGCCGCCGCAGUAA
rnacentral:rRNA from 1 species